UAUACUCAGUAAGAAAAAUAGUAUUUAAAUAACAUCAUAAGAUCUUAAAGGUAAUUAGAAAUACUAUCAUUACUUACCAUCAAGGGUCAUAUCAGGAUUCUUUAUUAAAUUAUGAAAACAAUUUAUUUUAUUAAAGAAAACAUCAAGCACAUCAUGUCAUGGUCAUAUCAUGUCAAUCAAAUCAAUCAUGAUAAAAAUAGAGAUAAUCAAAUAAAUCAUAGUAUGCACUAUUUUCAUUU
rnacentral:lncRNA from 1 species